AAUCCUGGCUCAGGAUGAACGCUAGCUACAGGCUUAACACAUGCAAGUCGAGGGGCAGCGGGAAGGAAGCUUGCUUUCUUCGCCGGCGACCGGCGCACGGGUGAGUAACGCGUAUCGAACCUGCCUCAUACUCGGGAAUAACCUUGCGAAAGUAAGACUAAUACCCGAUGUUUUCAUCUCCUCGCAUGAAGAGUUGAACAAAGUUUUUCGGUAUGAGAUGGCGAUGCGUCCCAUUAGCUUGUUGGCGGGG
rnacentral:rRNA from 1 species